rnacentral:lncRNA from 1 species
GUUCAUUAUCUCUUCUUCUUGUUCGUUGUUAGCUUCAUUAUUAGUUACACCUUUUGUCCCACGUAGGCCCCUAUCAGUUGUACUAGAAAUUUGGGUUACAACUGAUUGCCCUCCUUCACUUUGACCCAUGGAUUGAGUGGAGUGUACAUAGAUAUCAAUCCACUUCGUACCUUCAUAACAAGCUAACAUCUCCAUACAAUCUUUAUCAUUUCUAAGGGGCCUAACACCAAUCUGAAUUGGUUUGUGUGGC